rnacentral:lncRNA from 1 species
CAAUAUGACAAUACAUGGUUAGGAACGAUGCAAUUUCAUGUUUAACAAAGCGAAGAGACACCAUGGGACAAACUAAACACAACAGAUCCAUACCUCUGAAAAAUCAAGGAAGUGAUCAUCUCAUAUAAUUAACAUACCUUAUCAAAAAUAAAAGCCCAUAUUACAUAGUUACAUAGCUCUUUAGUUUCACAUGGUCUGUACUCUGUACUGAUUGUACAUAAAGUGUUCCUCUGAUCACAGAUGACCUUGGGUAUGGAAAUUUUAUGUUGGACUAAUGAUGCAUGCCUUGGAUAGGUACCCUUUAUGAUAGGUAGCUAAAACAGAGAAUUUUGGAAACAAUUUCAUAGUCACCAGCAGUCGUGCAGAUCUUGGAUGGGUGCAUCUAGCUGCCUGAUAAAAAAAACAAUGGAUGACGAACAGCUUGAUGAGAGUUCAAUGGAGUAUCGGGAGUGUGGCAACCAAUUUACUUCGUGAGUACUACAAAACGAAUGAACAUAUACACCACUUACCGGAGUCACUUGAAUGGAAAUAAAAAACUCUAGAGGGGGAGAGGGGCGCGACCGCGCUCAGGAUAUAGAUUGCGCAAGGCUGCCGAGCACACGACAACUCCAUCCUCUGCAGCAGUAGGUCGAUGGCAUGGGGCGACAGUAGAUCGUCAGCAACAACUGACCUGGCGGCAAAGGCGCGUGGGGCGGCAGGAGGAGACGCGGUGCGUCGCGUGGCCACCGGCAGCGCGAGCAGAGAACAGCAUACGAGAUCAAGAUGGAUGGAUCCCAAGAGGCGAAAUGGGG